UGCUGCCACUACUUUGUUUUGUGUUUGCUUGGUUUGUACUUGGGUGUCAAACAAUCUAAGGUACCCUACAGAAGGUGGCACAGCCUGUUCCCAAUGUUGAAGAAGGCGAAUUUCUUGAUAUUUUGAAAAUGUACAAGAAAUGUGCCCCAAAAGGAGCCUUACUAAUUCAAUUAUCUAACCUCCAAAGCAUUUCUCCUAUUGUACCUGAUGUAAAAAGUAUGUUAAAGACCAUGUGGAAUGAAGUCUUCUGUGGGCAGAGUUGUAAAUGAGACUGCUGCCAUAUUGGAUUACAUGAGCUAUUAUGAGUGUUAUUUCAUCUUCAAACAUUUGUGGGCAUGUAUAAUAAGUACAGGCAUACACCAUGGCAACUGAUUACAUCUGAUCGUAGCAACCAAUCAGCACACAAGAAGUGUUGAUUUCUUUCUCUUGCAUCAGUUCUGAGAUUUUGAGUGUUCGUCAUGCUUUGUUAUCGUCCCUGCAACAGAAUUCUGCCGAGAAUUUGUCCGGAGCUUGACAGUUUUGUUGCCUGACAGGUUUGGCAUAACUGAUCUGGCGUAGGCAGCACAUGCAAGCCAGUCGCGCUUUGCGCUAAGUGCAGUAACGGCCAUCUACAUAUCUUUUUUAAGAUAUCUACAUCAUAGCAAGUUGUAAUUUUGGGUGUGCCAGAGUGGGUGUUACAAUAGUUGGCAUAUGACAGAUUUGAACGCCUAAAACUAAGAAAUGGCUCCUUUGUUGACUAUGAAACGUUGCAAGCAAAUUCCCGGCAUGGUUGUGCUCAAACUCUGAGGUUUGGAUUUCGAAUA